rnacentral:rRNA from 1 species
CUCUAGGGAGACUGCCGGUGAUAAGCCGCGAGGAAGGUGUGGAUGACGUCAAGUCCUCAUGGCCCUUACGGGAUGGGCUACACACGUGCUACAAUGGCGGUGACAGUGGGACGCGAAGGAGCGAUCUGGAGCAAAUCCCCAAAAGCCGUCUCAGUUCGGAUUGCACUCUGCAACUCGAGUGCAUGAAGGCGGAAUCGCUAGUAAUCGUGGAUCAGCAUGCCACGGUGAAUACGUUCCCGGGCCUUGUACACACCGCCCGUCACACCAUGGGAGUUGGUCUUACCCGACGGCGCUGCGCCAACCGCAAGGAGGCAGGCGACCACGGUAGGGUCAGCGACUGGGGUGAAGUCGUAACAAGGUAGCCGUAGGGGAACCUGCGGCUGGAUCACCUCCUUU